UACGUAGGUGGCAAGCGUUGUCCGGAUUUAUUGGGUUUAAAGGGUGCGUAGGCGGUCCUAUAAGUCAGUGCUGAAAUAUCCCGGCUUAACCGGGAGGGUGGCAUUGAUACUGCAGGACUUGGGUAAAGUUGAGGUUGGCGGAAUUGACGGUGUAGCGGUGAAAUGCUUAGAUAUCGUCAAGAACACCUAUUGCGAAGGCAGCUAACUAAGCUUUAACUGACGCUGAGGCACGAAAGUGUGGGGAUCAAACAGG
rnacentral:rRNA from 1 species